rnacentral:lncRNA from 1 species
UUGCAUAGCAUCCGCUUGAUUUGUUAAUUGCUUGGUUUUAAUUUUAUUAGUAUUUGAUAUGUUUAAUUAGUUAACAUUUUGUGUCGGAAAGAUAUUUGCGAUGCCAGUUUGAAGAGAGUUAUAAAAGUGGUGUGCGAUUAAACAUUAGGGUUUUUGGAUUUUGCAAUGCCAAUUCAAUUAAUUUCCUAUUUUUCUGAAGAUUCUGGAUGGUGCAUGGAUUGCAAUGUGCUCCCUGGGAGAGGAGAAGGAGAAGGCAAUAAAACUGACCGUUGAAGCCAUGGAAAAGAUCGAGGGAGAGCUCAAAGGGAAGCAAUUUUUUGGAGGAGAGAACAUUGGCUACCUGGACAUUGCAAUGGGAUGGAUGUCUUACUGGCUGCCAGUGUGGGAAGAAGUUGGGUCCAUGAAGAUAGUAAAUCCUCUGCAAUUUCCAGCAACAACUUCAUGGAUGAACAAGUUUCUCGACCAUCCUGUGAUCAAGGAAAACUUACCACCUCGAGACAAGAUGAUCAUUUAUUUCCAGAGUCGAAGCACAGAGCUUGCUUCCAGGCCUCAUAACUGGUUUCGGACUUGAUGGCCAAUGGCUAUAUAACUAUGCUUGUCUCCCUAUCAGAAUAAAUUUAGAGCUGAAUUGUAUUAUGCAAUACAAGUUGAAUAAAGGGCAACCUCACUUUAGACCCUAACUUGUUACCAGUUUCUCAAUUAGAUCCCACCCUAUUUUCUAAUCAAAUUUAUCGUUUUUGAAAUCCUCAAUCAAGUUCUUGUGUUCUUAGAAUUAUUGUGAGAGAAUUGGCAUAAAAUGACGUCUUUUUAUUUCAUAAAUUACAAAGUUUAGAUGAGAAACAUGAAGGAGAAUCAAUUGAGAAUUUCUGGUAUUUUAAUGAUCAAAUUGAAAAUUGGUGUAUAAAUCGGGGACCAAUAAGAGGUUACCCUAAAUAUAAAAAGCUACAUUAUCCCUAAUGCUUGCAUUGAUAAGGAAAGCGUUACUUGAGAAAGAACAAUAGCUUUCUUCUCAAACUACUCUUUGAGGAGGGAUAUAAUAGAUCACGGCUUGAAAUUCUAAAAUUAUUUAGUAACAAAUCAAACGUGGAAUACCCAAAUAGAAUAUUAAUUUGUAGUUUAUAGUAGAAUAACUUGGUGUUUGUUCAGUAUAAUUUUUAUUAAUAUUUAAAAAAAAAAUUAAAAAUACUUUAAUAUAUUUUUAAAUUAAAAAAUAUUCUCAAAAUAAUAUACAUUGCAGCUGGGUUUUUGUGUCAUGGGCCUUGGGCCCAAAUCAAUAUAGAUAAGAAAAAGAAGAAAAUUCAACCGAGUCCACCAUCCACGCGCUCUCUAGCCCACCCCAUAAAAUUAGAGGACACAUCAGCUUAGUUUAGUUCCAUUCAACUCCUCAAAUAUAUUUUAAAUUUCCCAUCAAUUGAUUUCCUAAUUCUUCUUUCUUAAGCAAAAAAAAAAAAAGGAGUUUUAAUUUUGUUAGUAUUUGAUAUAUUUAAUUAGUUAACAUUUUGUGUCAAAAAGAUAUUUACGAUGCCAAUUUAAAGAAAAACACAAAUAUAUAAAAUUGGGUGUGCGAUUAAACAUUAGGGUUUGGAUUUUGCAAUGCCAAUAUUUCAAUAAAACUUACCUUUGAAGCCAUGGAAAAGAUAAAGGGGGAAGCAAUUUUUUAGAGGAAAGAACAUUGGCUACCUGGACAUUGCAAUGGGAUGGAUGUCUUACUAGCUGCCGGUAUGGGAAGAAGUUGGGUCCAUGAAGAUAGUAAAUCCUCUGUAAUUUCCAGCAACAACUUCAUGGAUGAAUAAGUUUCUCGACCAUCCUGUGAUCAAGGAAAACUUACCACCUCGAGACAAGAUGAUCAUUUAUUUCCA